rnacentral:tRNA from 1 species
GAGGUUAUAGCUCAGUGGUAGAACACGUGCUUAGCAUGCAUAAGGUCCUGGGUUCAAUCCCAGUAUCUUCA